rnacentral:snRNA from 1 species
CUGCAGGCGAGUUGAGUCCA